rnacentral:rRNA from 1 species
CCUGCCGGCGACCGGCGCACGGGUGAGUAACACGUAUGCGACCUGCCCCCGCAGGGGGAUAACCGGGAGAAAUCCCGACUAAUACCGCGUAACGCCGCGGACCUGCAUGGGUCUGCGGCCAAAGGAAGCGAUUCCGGCGGGAGAUGGGCAUGCGGCGCAUUAGCUAGUCGGCGGGGUAACGGCCCACCGAGGCGACGAUGCGUAGGGGUUCUGAGAGGAAGGUCCCCCACACUGGUACUGAGACACGGACCAGACUCCUACGGGAGGCAGCAG